rnacentral:rRNA from 1 species
CAGUACCACGGUAAUACGGAGGGUGCAAGCGUUAAUCGGAAUUACUGGGCGUAAAGCGCACGCAGGCGGUUUGUUAAGUCAGAUGUGAAAUCCCCGAGCUUAACUUGGGAACUGCAUUUGAAUCUGGCAAGCUAGAGUCUUGUAGAGGGGGGUAGAAUUCCAGGUGUAGCGGUGAAAUGCGUAGAGAUCUGGAGGAAUACCGGUGGCGAAGGCGGCCCCCUGGACAAAGACUGACGCUCAGGUGCGAAAGCGUGGGGAGCAAACAGGAUUAGAUACCCGGGUAGUCCCUGUCUCUUAUACA